AACGAGACCUUAACCUGCUAAAUAGCCAGGCCGGCUUUCGCUGGUCGCCGGCUUCUUAGAGGGACUGUCAGCGUCUAGCUGACGGAAGUUUGAGGCAAUAACAGGUCUGUGAUGCCCUUAGAUGUUCUGGGCCGCACGCGCGCUACACUGACAGAGCCAGCGAGUUUUUCACCUUGGCCGGAAGGUCUGGGUAAUCUUGUGAAACUC
rnacentral:rRNA from 1 species